UACGUAGGGGGCAAGCGUUGUCCGGAAUUAUUGGGCGUAAAGAGCGUGUAGGCGGUCCGGUAAGUCAGCUGUGAAAGUCAAGGGCUCAACCCUUGAAUGCCGGUUGAUACUGUCGGGCUAGAGUCCGGAAGAGGCGAGUGGAAUUCCCGGUGUAGCGGUGAAAUGCGCAGAUAUCGGGAGGAACACCAAUGGCGAAGGCAGCUCGCUGGGACGGUACUGACGCUGAGACGCGAAAGCGUGGGGAGCAACAGGG
rnacentral:rRNA from 1 species